rnacentral:rRNA from 1 species
AGUGAACGCUGGCGGUAGGCCUAACACAUGCAAGUCGAACGGCAGCACAGUAAGAGCUUGCUCUUACGGGUGGCGAGUGGCGGACGGGUGAGGAAUACAUCGGAAUCUACUUUUUCGUGGGGGAUAACGUAGGGAAACUUACGCUAAUACCGCAUACGACCUACGGGUGAAAGCAGGGGAUCUUCGGACCUUGCGCGAUUGAAUGAGCCGAUGUCGGAUUAGCGAGUUGUCGGGGUAAAGGCCCACCAAGGCGACGAUCCGUAGCUGGUCUGAGAGGAUGAUCAGCCACACUGGAACUGAGACACGGUCCAGACUCCUACGGGAGGCAGCAGUGGGGAAUAUUGGACAAUGGGCGCAAGCCUGAUCCAGCCAUACCGCAUGGGUGAAGAAGGACUUCGGGUUGUAAAGCCCUUUUGUUGGGAAAGAAAAGCAGCAUGUUAAUACCCCGCUGUUAUGACGGUACCCAAAGAAUAAGCACCGGCUAACUUCGUG